UCUCGGCUCUUGCAUCGAUGAAGAACGUAGUGAAAUGCGAUACUUAGUGUGAAUUGCAGAAUCUCGUGAACCAUUGAGUCUUUGAACGCAAGUUGUGCCCGAGGCCUUGUGGUCGAGGGCACGCCUGCUUGGGCGUCAUGGCAUCGUCGCCUUUGCUCCUUGCUU
rnacentral:rRNA from 1 species